UGGGUGACGCGGAGGGACAUUGCUGGAACGCGCCCCAGGCGCACCCAGAAACCCUUUGUGAACUUAUACCUUACUGUUGCCUCGGCGCAUGCUGGCCCCCUCGGGGGCCCCUCGGAGACGAGGAGCAGGCACGCCGGCGGCCAAGUUAACUCUUGUUUUUACACUGAAACUCUGAGAAAAAACACAAAUGAAUCAAAACUUUCAACAACGGAUCUCUUGGUUCUGGCAUCGAUGAAGAACGCAGCGAAAUGCGAUAAGUAAUGUGAAUUGCAGAAUUCAGUGAAUCAUCGAAUCUUUGAACGCACAUUGCGCCCUCUGGUAUUCCGGAGGGCAUGCCUGUUCGAGCGUCAUUUCAACCCUCAAGCAUUGCUUGGUGUUGGGGCACUGCCUGUAAAAGGGCAGGCCCUGAAAUCUAGUGGCGAGCUCGCCAGGACCCCGAGCGCAGUAGUUAAACCCUCGCUCUGGAAGGCCCUGGCGGUGCCCUGCCGUUAAACCCCCAACUUUUGAAAAUUUGACCUCGGAUCAGGUAGGAGUACACGCUGAACUUAAGCAUAUAUAA
rnacentral:rRNA from 1 species